CGUGGACGAAGUAGACACACCUUCAUUAAUUCAUUAGAAAAACGAAUCUUAAUUAAUACACGUGAGCCGAAAGAAGGGAAAAUGAGAGAAAUGUCUCUUCCAACAUUUAUUAUGUCAACUGAAUUAAUAAUAUUUUACUAUUUUGAACUGAAGUGCUAUUAUAUAAGAUUUUUAAUCACUUAAUGAUAACGUAUACAGUAAAAAGUGAAAAUGCAUCCCUUAGUGUUCUUGAUUUACAACAUUUAAUAAAAUUAAAGCCCUCUUUUAUAUAAGUUCAUAAUAAAAGAAGUUAAAUUCUGAUGACUAUCGUUGUUGAACAGGAAAGAGAACUUUUUAUGACCACUUCUAAAGAUUUGCAGUCGUUUUGUAUCCCCCUUCCACUUGACACAAGGAGUCGAUGGUCCGUACGUAGAGAAGAUUCACUGUCUGCCAAUUGUUGUAAAUCUCGCCAUUCUGUAAUUGUUAUCUGUCGUCUUAACUUUUUCAUUGUCUAAAGGGAAUUGUUAGACGUUAAUCAAAUAAAAUUUUCACUUUCAAACAUCUGAUUGGAUUAGUAAUAUUAUUCAUUGGGCAAUGUUAAAACGAAUUCUAGAAUUACCCGAAUUCAAUCGAAAAAAUAAGAAAAUGAUUUUAGUAUAAUCGUGUAUUCAGAAUAGAAGCAAUAGCUGUUUCGAUUAAAUAAAACUGUAGACAACCGUAUCAUUCCUUCCACUUUAAACAUUUAGAGAGAUAAGAGAUAAAAACGUCAAUUCACCAUCUGCGAAAGCAACCAAGGUACCAUUCAAUAAAUGGACUUUCCCGGUUCAGUCCACCUGUUCCCCGUGAUGAGAGAUCGCUAAUAGAAAGCUAUAUAAAACUACGACUGGUAGGUUACUGUC